AACGCGAAGAACCUUACCAGCCCUUGACAUCCCGGUCGCGGACACCAGAGAUGGAGUCUUUCAGUUCGGCUGGACCGGAGACAGGUGCUGCAUGGCUGUCGUCAGCUCGUGUCGUGAGAUGUUGGGUUAAGUCCCGCAACGAGCGCAACCCUCGCCCUUAGUUGCCAUCAUUUAGUUGGGCACUCUAAGGGGACUGCCGGUGAUAAGCCGCGAGGAAGGUGGGGAUGACGUCAAGUCCUCAUGGCCCUUACGGGCUGGGCUACACACGUGCUACAAUGGCGGUGACAGUGGGACGCAAUGGAGUAAUCCUGCGCAAAUCUCAAAAAGCCGUCUCAGUUCGGAUUGUGCUCUGCAACUCGAGCACAUGAAGUUGGAAUCGCUAGUAAUCGCAGAUCAGCACGCUGCGGUGAAUACGUUCCCGGGCCUUGUA
rnacentral:rRNA from 1 species